AACGAACGCUGGCGGCGUGCCUAACACAUGCAAGUCGAGGGAGAAAGCCCGCAAGGGUUAGUAAACCGGCGAACGGGUGCGUAACACGUGGAUAAUCUACCUCGGUGACCGGGAUAACUGGCCGAAAGGCUUGCUAAUACCGGAUAAGCCCACGACGUCUUCGGACGACGAGGGAAAAGGUGGCCUCUGCAUGCAAGCUAUCACAUCGAGAUGAGUCCGCGGCCCAUCAGCUAGUUGGCGGGGUAAUGGCCCACCAAGGCUACGACGGGUAGCUGGUCUGAGAGGAUGAUCAGCCACACUGGAACUGAGACACGGUCCAGACUCCUACGGAGGCAGCAGUGGGGAAUCUUGCGCAAUGGGCGAAAGCCUGACGCAGCAACGCCGCGUGUGUGAUGAAGAUCUUCGGAUCGUAAAGCACUGUCGCGAGGGAAGAGAUGCGCGGGGAUAACACUCCCGCGCUAGGACGGUA
rnacentral:rRNA from 1 species